rnacentral:rRNA from 1 species
GAUGAACGCUGGCGGCGUGCCUAAUACAUGCAAGUCGAGCGAACAGACGAGGAGCUUGCUCCUCUGACGUUAGCGGCGGACGGGUGAGUAACACGUGGAUAACCUACCUAUAAGACUGGGAUAACUUCGGGAAACCGGAGCUAAUACCGGAUAAUAUAUUGAACCGCAUGGUUCAAUAGUGAAAGACGGUUUUGCUGUCACUUAUAGAUGGAUCCGCGCCGCAUUAGCUAGUUGGUAAGGUAACAGCUUACCAAGGCAACGAUGCGUAGCCGACCUGAGAGGGUGAUCGGCCACACUGGAACUGAGACACGGUCCAGACUCAUACGGGAGGCAGCAGUAGGGAAUCUUCCGCAAUGGGCGAAAGCCUGACGGAGCAACGCCGCGUGAGUGAUGAAGGUCUUCGGAUCGUAAAACUCUGUUAUUAGGGAAGAACAAAUGUGUAAGUAACUAUGCACGUCUUGACGGUACCUAAUCAGAAAGCCACGACUAACUACGUG